rnacentral:miRNA from 1 species
AUUUGUGUUAAUUUUUCCAACUGUGUGUGUGUGUGUAUAUAUAAAUACACAUACACACACACACACACACACACACACACACACACACACACACA